UUUCAGCUUUGACAGGUAUUGCCUUCACAA
rnacentral:piRNA from 1 species